ACAUCCCAAGAUGGCGGGUGAGUGGGUCUAGGCUCCAGGGGCUCAGGCGACUCCCCUUUCCCUCCACGGAGCCCCCCCGCAUCCCACCCCCGCGAGCCCUGGACUCGCCGCCCGUGCAGCCCCGUGUAGCUCCUUGGUUUUUCAGAGAUCCCUCUGUACUUUGUGGACUUGCAGGAUGACUUAGAGAACUGCAGUACCACUGGCUGUCAAGCCCUGCACUGACAGACUUUCCUCUCAGGCCUCUGCUGCUGUAGCCUCAGCCUCACUGCCUUCGCAUUGUGUGAGGGAAGGGCCAUGAUUGUCUUCGUUUUGGUGUCCAGUGGUGAGAAGCUCCUGGUUGCUCUCCCGGCGUUCACUUGAGAGCCCUCUGCGUGGACUGAGCUGAUAGAUCCCUCCCGCGUUGCUUUCUUACAAGAAAGCAGGUUGGAUUUCUCUGUGGCGGUCUCCCAGUGCGCCAUGCCUGUUGUAGCAGCACCUUGAGGAACCAGAUCACCAGGCUACCUUAAGAUCUCAUUAGCAGCUUUCGUCCUGUUGUCUGUGAGGCCAGUGGGUGCUGAUGCUGACCUCUGAGUCCUGCGGCCUCAGGAUGCUGGGUUGUGGGCCUUCCCCAUCACAGCUGGCAAGGAAUUUGACCUUUCCAAAAGGUUGGCACAUUGGAUCUACAUAAGUUUCCUAAGUCUCUGAAGCUGAUAAUCUGCAGCAUGAUGUCCGUGCUGACCGAGAGCACAGGGGAGCGCCUGCCUACUGCUGCCUUGAUUCUGUGAACUGUGUUGUGACUGGAAACUCCCAAGUUCGGAAGGUUCAAAUGUGUCAGCCAUGUCAACAGCUCCGCUGUAGCCCAGGCCUGGCUCACCAUGGGCUUCCACUCUGAGCCACUGGGCACACCACCAGCCUGUGUCCCUACUGAGGGCAUCCGUGGCCCUGUGGGUGGCUCGUCUCACUGUGGGUCACACUCCCCUUGGUAAAACAUUUUAUGCCAAGUGUUUUAUGUUAAGAGCAACCAGAAAACUCUAAGAGCCAAGCAUGCCCGACAGCUGCACAGCGCAGGCCCAGCGUGGAGCCCGAGUGGCUUACGGAGGACCACACAGAUAACGUGGGCACGUGGAAAGUGUGUGCAGAGUGCUUCAGGCCAUGUCCCCACCACCCCACCCUACCCCGGCGCUGCAGGGUCCAGCUCCCGCCUCUCCUCAUCAGACUCAUCAGUGACCCCUCGCAGCUCAGUCUCAGGUAUUGCCUGCCUGCCUGCCUGCCUGCUGGCUGCAUUGAGAGCUGCACGACGCUGCUCUGCUGGUGAGAGCAAGCAGCGCGCGCUCUCGCUCACUCGGCUUGCUCGGCUUGCUCGCGGUCUGAAGGAAGAGCCUGUGUCAGAUCCCAGCCCUGUCUCUGGCAAUCACAUCCUCUCGUCAGCUCCACCAUCUCAGAAUGAGCUCUCGGCGGCCAGGAUAUUACAGAGCACAGGGCGCCUUGGGCAGGCCAGUGUCACCUGCUUUGUGUCCUGCAGUCUGGAGCCUGCCUCUGGAUUGCAUUCUUGCCUGAGUCUCUGGAAGCUUCUUUGGCCUCGUGGCAUUGGCCAUGGUUGCGCCUUCCCAGUUCCCGCCCAGCUCGCACUUACACCCCGAGGUGGUGCCUGCCCUUUGACUCCUCUCUCUGCCUCAGGAUGAGCAGGCCUGGCAAGUCCAUGGUCAUCAGGACCCAAGUGCACAUUCCUCCGCCGACAUGGUCGCUGCUCCCUCAGCGCCACGCCUUAUACGUGCACCGAGGCCUGAUUCCCAACAGAGGCCGAAGGUUUUGUCUUUUCUGAAAACUCACCUCUGCCCCUUCCUCUGAAGCCACGUAGGAGGCUGCUAAGUGGGCCAUACAAAGAGACCCUGGCCUUAAAGAGCAGAAGUGGCAGGCGCACCCGUGGGCACCCCAGCUUUUCUGUGAUCCAACUGAGUCACAAAUUUGAACCAGUGACCGUCUGAAACAGAGCAGAGGCAAGAGCAGGCUGUUCCUGAAGAGUGUGAGCCUCAAGUUCAGGUUUGUCCCUUGAAGCAAAAGCAAAGGACAUAGCCUCUCUAGCGCCGCCCUUCAGCUCAAGGCGGCCGCGGUAGUCGAGGGGGCGUCUCCCGCCAGCCGUAACUGUAUAGCUAGGUAACUGUGCUGAUAACAUUUUCCUCUCUGAAAAUCAUUAUGAAGUAGUGUUCCCAGUCAGGAAAGCUCAGCCGCCAUGGGGCCCAGCGGCCUCGCUCCGACGCUUAACAACAGUUGGGUUUGCUUUCUUUCGGUAUAAAAAUUUUGUAAGCUUCUUUUGUUGGGCUACGUUUACAUUCCUCUGCCUGUGCCAUACAGGGCCCCUUAAGUACCUUAAGUCAUUAUCACGCAUUGGUCUGCCUCAGCCAGGUACACACAGGUAAUGUGUUUAUACUGAAGGGCGCCUCAAGAUCUCCUGGUAAUCCCAAGGGCAGGCUUGGGCCCAGCUCUGUGGGCCGCUGCAGACGAUGGUCUCCACGCUGGGCCGCUGGGCUGUGCACGCUGCUCCCAGACUCUCCUCUCUGGCAAGGCCUCGUUGGCUUUGGGGCAGCUGACUGCAGGUACUAAUGUCCCUCUGGCUGCCCUCCCCCCAGCUCCGCUUUCCACAUACCUGCCCUCCUGGCUUCAACCCUCCUCGUCAGCAGGAUGAUCUCCUUCCUCCUGUUUGCCAGGAUAUAAUCCCCCAGCCUCUGCUCCAUCAGUUCGUUUCCAUGACGAACCCAGCUAGAGCACAGGCUGGGGACACUGACAUGGCCAAGGGCUGUGCGUACAGCCUCCCUGGGGUGGUCCUCGGCCGCAGAACCAGCACUGCCUGAGGACACAUGUGAGAGGUUGGCUUCAGAUGUUCAGUGGAAGGUCUGCGCACCCUUGCCUUCUCCAAGAAUGAAGUGGCAGUGAUUCUCGGGGAUCAGCCGACAGCAGCCAGCUUGGUGCCUAUCGUCAAUGGCUUCUUGAAGGAUCUGGACAAGUGUGUGUAGGAGUCCUUAAACACCUGUACGCCUUCCUAAAGAUGCAGGGUCUCAGCCAGAGGGGCAGCAGAGCCAUUAUCCACUGAGCAUAAAGACACGCCUCCUUGGGUGGGAAAGCACAAAGCAACCUAUUUGGUGUACAGCCACACGGAGUCACCCAUGCCUGGGCUUGUAAGUAGCAAGGAAUGAGGGGGACGGGCUCCCUUGCAGAAAAAUAAAGGGGGUAAGUAGCAAGGAAUGAGGGGGACGGGCUCCCUUGCAGAAAAAUAAAGGGGGUGCCGGGGUCACCUUGAGCCUGACGUGUCACUUAUGGAAUGUAUUCUCAACACUUGCUCAUCAGGACAAAGGAGAGCGCACCCCUGGCAGCUGCAGAGGCAGUGGGCUGACCGCAGAGGCAGUGGGCUGACCGCAGAGGCAGUGGGCUGACCGCGGAGGCGGUGGGCCGACCGCAGAGGCAGUGGACUGACCGUGGCCAGAACUGGAGGUUUCCAUGUAACUAGCAGAGUACAUCUAGUCAUCUCUCAAAUAAUCAUCUUCCUGAAGAAAUCCAGCAGGCUUUUGCAGCUAUGUAGGAUAUGAUUUGGCCAGUGCCGGGGGCAGACUGGAAGAUUUUCUCUUUGCUGCAACAGCAGAUGCUGAUCUUGGAUCUGUAGACCCCAGCGGUGUUUACAGUUAGAUGAGACACGUUGCCUUGAAGUUGUGCACAGACCAAGUUUCUCAAGCGCGUUGCAUUUCAUUCAAGGUAGUAAAGAGCCGGCCUUGCCGGUAGCACAUUCUCGUAAACAGCACUCUCUGUUUCCAUAUUAACUCCAUUAUUUUUUUUUCUUCUGGGCUCUAUUUGUCAUUUUCUCUAAGUCCAGCUUUUAAUUUUUGCAGUUAGAAGCUAUAUUGUUUCAUCAAUUUUCAGGAGAGCCCUGUUAUUAAUUUUAUAAUAAUAAUGGAAAACCGUGCAGAAAUCAUUUUGUAUAUGAAACUCUUUAAAUACUAGCAUAGGUUUUUUUGUUUGUUUGUUUGUGCAUGUGUGUUGUUGAAUUCUCCACAGCUUUGUAGAACAAUUCAUGAUGAGCAAAGUCUCGGGCAGAAGAGGGGAUUCUGGUUCUUACGAAGUCUCCCAGCCCUAGAGAAGACAGUCUUACUUGAAAAUAGUGAUUUUUAAAUUUCUUGAUGGUAAUGAGAUUUUUUAAAAAAUACCAUGCCCUCAACGGUAACAAUGUACUCAUUUUGAAGGGUGAUGUUUUUAAAACUGGAUCCCCUGUGCUGGAUGUAUUGGUCUGAUGUUACUGCCGGUGCUUCUCCAUUUCCCUUGGAGACUGGUAUGCACAUGUUUAUAUUCUUAAGACCUAUUUAAAAUCCUCUCUGCAUGUGCUGGUGAGAAGUGAAGGAGAUGCUUCCUCUUGCUUGUAAAUUGAUUGUGAGGGUGGGCAUGGACAUGAGGGGGCCCUGUGCUGUGGAGAGCGAUGCUUGUAAUUGCCGGUGCCGACGGCAACCGGCAGGCAGCCGGCAGGCAGGGCCUCACAGCUGCCUCUCUCUCUCUCUCCAGUUGCUCGCAGGUGGUGGCAAUGCUAUGGAAGUUCUGCUCCCCUGGUGCCUGUGCUCUGGGGCUCAUUUUCAUCCAGGAGCCCUUGUCAAGAUUUUGGCACUGCCCUGAGUGGGCUGGAAGGCAGGAUUCUGCCUGCAUCUGCCGGGUUAGCACAGGCACGGGAGAAUCUGCCUGUGGAUUCAUUUCCCUGGCAGAAGCUGGGGAAAGGUUACCGAGCCUCCUCUCCUAUCUUGUUCACAGUCACCCUGGGCACUUGUUCACACGCCAGGCAUGGUUGGUACCUACUGUGUGCUGUGUACUGUGUACCCUGAAGAUGUAAUCAGAGCAGCCAGCCCUCCCAUCAGACCCAGCCCACCCUUCUUACACUUCCUGCAGGGCAUCCCCAAGUGCGAGGGCAGAGUGGAGAGCCAGCUUCAUGACCCAGCUCUCAAGCUUCUAUCACUUUGUCUCCUCAAUAACCCCUUCUGACUAGCACCUUGGAAAUGCUUGUGCAUGUGUGUGUCACAGGGCGGUGGCUUGAAUGUCAGCCAUCUUGGCACAUCUGAUUCUCUAGUACUGACUCCCGAGUAUGAAGCACAGUGGAGCAUGGCGGCACCCUGUUUCUCCUUGAGGAUGAUUGUUUUAGGUGAAGCAUUAACCCCAAAGAGGCCAAGGGACCUGUUCAGGAUCCCACCAGGCAUGGAAAGCCGUGGGUUUGGUUUUAAGGGUUUUGUUCCCACAAGUAUUAUUUUAAUCAUUUUGGUGUUUCAUCAUGCUGUCUUCUGGCACCACAAAGGCAAAGGGGGUAGUACGCCAUCUCCAGGAGCUGUGCUGACAGCCAGCUUUGAUGAAGCUAGUCCUAACCCCACGUCUUCAAUUGGCUUGUCGGUCUGGUAAACAACUGCAGUGAGAGGACUCACUAUCGCCCCCUGUUGGGCUAGAAUGACAUAGCCGGUAUUUUUCCACAGCACAGCCAUCUUUGAAGGAAAACAUCAAUAUUCACAUCGUUGUACAGCAAUGCCUUUUUAAAAAUCUUUUUCUUUUUUCUUUUUCUUUCUUUUUUUGCUUUUAUGAUUUUAACUACUUAUCUGGAAUUUUGGAAUUUAGAAAAAUCUGAGAAACAAGAAAUGAUACCAAUUCAUUUUGUUUAAGAAAAACCAACAAGAUCUUUUUUGAGAAAAAAAAAUUAUUAAAGAUGUAGAAAAUCUAGCAGAACACAAUGCAAGGGACUGAUGCUCCUGAGAUAGUGUACCUCAGAGAUGUGUCAAUCUCUGUCUGAACACAGCUCUUAGAAGAAGAUACUAGGGUGUCAAGGCAGAUCUAGAGUGAGACCCUGUUUCUGAGCUCCCUGCUAGUGGCCUGGUUAAAGCAAUGUCUCUAUGAGGCAGAGUGUGCCCUGUGCUGCUCUACGCCAUGUCCCUCUGACCUGACGAGGUCAGCUGUGAGGACAAGCAUGGAACGGGAGCCUGUUGAUGACCCUGAGACACUGUUGCUGUGGUGCUAACUCACCCUGAUACCAACCUCCCUCAGAGGGAACGCCCACAGCAGCCAGAGUCCAUGCGUCUGGCUUAAGUCUCCACUCACUUGUCGGUCCUAAGACUUUCAGUGCCACUACCACUCAGGUAUAGAAUUUUCUCACCCAUAAAACAAAGCUAGUGUUGCUCUCCAAAGUUAGUUGUGAGAGGAAAGGGAGGAGUAUCCUCUAGACCCUCUGUUAGCUCGGGGGCAGUGCACAGCCUCCACCGCUGAGCUCAAGAGGGCAUGGCUACCUCUGAGAAACCUGAGCUGGGCCAGAGUCUGGGUUAGCCUGGCAGCCAGGCCCUGUCUUAAAGGCGGGGUUCUGAACAAAUUCUUACUGCCCAGGUGUGUACAGUGUGGUGGCCAUGUGCAGGGUGAUUGGUACAAAGGAUCAGCUGCUGCGCCACUGAAGAAACCAGGAUCAGAAAAGGGAAACAGCUUGCCUGAGGCCACCAAGCAGCCGGUUUAAGCUUCAGAUCUGUCCCUGCCCGGCUCUGGAGCUCCUCCUCCAGACCCUGCAGUCCUUGCCAGACAUUCCUUAUUAGUGAGCUACAAAACCCAUAAAGUCUUAUAACUAAAUUUACUUCUUGAAAUGUAAAAGUCCCCUGUCUCUCAUCUCAAACCUAUAGACUCUGAAGCAUUGUCUUUACAAUUACAGAAGUAUAUGUGCUUUGAGAUCUGGAGAAAGGGACUGCCAGGCUCUCAUUUCCUCAACCUGUGGUGAGUGAAGAGUCUGUUCCUGUGGAACACCUGCUUCCCAGCCUCCUGAGCCUGGUGUCAGAUCCUGUGCCAAAUGCGAAGGCUCUGCUGGCCAGGCCACUGCGGCAAACACUGUUGGAGAAGGGUGUAUGGCCUCACUGGCUUCACUGUUAACCCUGACUGUGACAGGUGGCAGCUAGGUCACCAAAGAAUUAUAGCAGGCUGGGUGGUAGUACACUGAGAUACACAAAGAUGCCCCAGACACAAACUAUUACACUCUUUUCUAGAUAGUGAUGGCAUUUAUUAGUUCCAGUUAUGAUGGGAAAGCAAGCCAAAGUCUGUCUCAAAGCUCUCGCAGUGUGAUGCCACCGGGCUGGGCUGUUUAAGCCUGAGUGAUGCAAGCUGUGUGUCCAUACAGGCCUGUGUUUCCCCACCAGGGUGUGGGCCCGUUUGUUCAUUUCCAGCCUUCUCCCUGUCCUGCUCCCUACACGUCGGUUCUCAUGACUACAGAGCAAGAUGCAUAUGAAGGUUUAGUUACUUUAACUUUUAAAGCUGGUGUCACUACUAGCAGUCCACCAUUAGAAUCUCAGAAGUACUUUUGGAAUAAGAUAUUUUACCGUCUGAAAGGACUCGGACACAAGGCUAUUUUUGGAAAAUUUAUCCAGGGUCUUGACCUGGCAUCAAAGAUAACAAAAUAGGAUAUAUUAUACAGCACAGUUCAUGGCACAUGGAACUCCAGCCUUUCUUUCCUUAGUAUAAUUUAGAAAUGCUAAGGACCAUCAUCUUAAAGUUGUUGAAGAGAGUUUCUUGGCUCUAAAGUCUGACAAGGACCAAGAUGUUUCAUUUUUUGCUUCCUUAGAACCAAAGAUACAAAAUGCUACAGAAACCACUCUGCUGGAAAACUAGACCAGUGCCCUGUGGUGGGUGCAUGGAGAUGCCUCUGCUACACGUGGUACUUAUACUUGAAAAGAAUCCAGUUAGUUAUAUAAGAGCUUCUAGAUGAGGCUUCUUUCCAGUGGUGGCAGCCUAGAGCUUCCAGCCUCUACAGACCUGAUGAGUGGCAGUUUAUAGAGGGGGUGUGAGUUCAGGUACCAAUGACUCUCAGGCCUCCUCACCAUGAGCUGUGGCCAGCCGUUUGUUUUUUAGGAAAGAUUAGUUUUUAAAACCUCCCCUCAGAGUCUGGUACAGUUGCUCACAUCUAUAAUUCUAGCACCUGGAAGGCUGGAGCAGGGAGAUCAAAAGUUCAUACCCAAUAUAGAGAAUUCUAGGCAUGUCUGAGCUACAUAACAAAACCCCAUUCAAGGACAACCAAACAUAAUACAUAAAUGCAGCUCCCUUCGCCAAUAAAGUAAUUUAGUAGAAGCUUGUAAGUAUCUUCUGGGCUGGCUGCCCUAAUCCUCUCUCAGAAAAUGGAGUUUAUGGCACUGCAUUUUAUCUCCAGCUGAAAUACUGUGCAUGUGUAAAUAACUUGACAGGAGGAAGACCUAUGGAUGUAACAUUAGCUUCUGCAGUGAAUAAACAUGUCAGUUGA